AAGCGCCUUUGUCAUACCUUGCUCACUCUGUUUUUCUUUUUCCUUGGAGCUUUGUAGUUACUGUUCGCUAUGCCAGAGCCAGCGAAGUCCGCUCCCGCCCCGAAAAAGGGCUCCAAGAAGGCGGUGACUAAGGCGCAGAAGAAGGACGGCAAGAAGCGCAAGCGCAGCCGCAAGGAGAGUUAUUCCAUCUAUGUGUACAAGGUGCUGAAGCAGGUCCACCCUGACACCGGCAUUUCGUCCAAGGCCAUGGGCAUCAUGAAUUCGUUUGUGAACGACAUUUUCGAGCGCAUUGCUGGUGAGGCUUCCCGCCUGGCGCAUUACAACAAGCGCUCGACCAUCACCUCCAGGGAGAUCCAGACGGCUGUGCGCCUGCUGCUGCCGGGGGAGUUGGCCAAGCACGCCGUGUCCGAGGGCACCAAGGCCGUCACCAAGUACACCAGCGCUAAAUAAACAGUGGAGUGGCUGAAACUUCUCAGCAGGUGCACCUACACUAGUGACCUGAGGAGAGAAACCCUAACCCCACAAUAGCUGCAUCUUCUCUGAAGACAACACUGAUGCUCAUCUUUGAAAUGAAGGGCAGUGUGUGCAUUUCUCCAUGAAGAAUGAAGGCUUCAUGAAACAGUGAUUGAACCCAGCACACUGGAGGAAGGAGGGAGCCAUGACAUAGAAGACUGGAACCAACACCAUGAAGCCAAAGCAUCACCCUGGCAUUGAUUACACCCUCAGACAGUCACAUGUCAAUCAAUUCUCCUGAGCGUUUUCAACAAAGUACCCGCAAAUUUCCAGAACAUGGAUUGAGAAAAACUUUGAGAUUCCAGCCUUAAUGACUGCUCCUCGUGGUCUCUCUCUCCAGUUAGACGAACCUGGGCUAGCAAUAUUCCGAAGAGUCAACAGUCAGCCCUGGUGCUAUAUACUUCCAUGGGAAUUCCAUACUUUCUCAAAACGCGUCAUCAUGGUAAAUAAUUAAGUACCUGUAAUAUUAAGUUCUGUAGAAAUGAAACCAUGUUUUUCCAUCACUGCCUCCAUAGCUUUCGGCACUGAAGGUGACAUGCCGUGCUCAUUGGCUAUGCAUCCGUUGAAGGAAUAAAGGAAUGAAUUCUGACCCGGGAAAGCAGGAGAGGCAGGAGUGUGACACCUUAACAGUCGACUGCAGUGGGAGCAGCGGCACCAGCAGCACUUGGGGAGACUUACUUUCCAGUAUGGCGGGAGUAGUAAACACUAGGAGUCAGAGAGUGAUGACCAAAGCUGGAGUUAAAAGUGGAAAUUAAAAUUCUCCUUCCUAUAAGAGGAAGAUAAUCGGUUAACUGCAGCUCACGUUUCCCCUCCAGCACUCGGCCAAACACGCACACGCAAGCGCGCACGAGCUGCCCACGGCCUUUCUUUCGGGGUUUGAGAAGAGAUGGACAGAGGUGGGAGAGCGCCGCUGCAGCCGCAUCAACAUUCCGGUGUCUGCCCUUAGAGGAGGUCUGGGAUUCAGUACUUGCCUGCUUCAAAGACAAUUCUACUGUUCAUGUGGUGAAAGCACAUAUUUUUGGGUAUGAAUAUUUGGGGAAAUACUUUAAAAAUCCUUAAAGCUUAUUGGGCGAAAAUGAAGUGGGCUCGUCCGGGAUUUGAACCCGGGACCUCUCGCACCCGAAGCGAGAAUCAUACCCCUAGACCAACGAGCCACUUAGAAGUGAUAUUUGCGCAUAUUUACUGUAGGAUUUAUUCCCAAAUUAUUUAUUUUUAUUCUUCAAAGGAUUUGUUACCAAAUAAUAUUUAUCACUCCAUCAAUUAUUUACAUAAAUGAAAAGGUUGGAAAGGCUAUUUCUGUGGAUGGUCUGCUGGUAGCUUAAAUUACCAUACCAAACUACGGUACAAGCUGGUAGCUUUAAUUACAAAUUAAAACUUGUAACCUGUAGAAACAUUUCUCC